rnacentral:misc_RNA from 1 species
AAUUUCCUUUUGACACAUAGUUCUAGUGAUGCAAGAGCCUGUGGGUCCCCAGGCCCCUCCUCAUCUAGAGGAAAAUCAUCCUUAAGGAGUCUUUUACCUAAACUAAGCUUCAAGUCUCGAAUNNNNNNNNUAACAUUAGAUGUUGAGAAGGCAGCCAAUCUACCUCCAGAUUCUUCCUGUACCAUGCCAAGGGAUAAACCGUCAAUCUCAAGGUCAUUAUCACUUACAAAGAUUUUCAC